GGCAAGGCCCUCAGGCCGCCUGAAAAGCGGAAGGUCGCCGGUUCGACCCCGGCCCCAGCCA
rnacentral:tRNA from 1 species